UACUCAGUUCUAGCCAUCACGGGGGUUGAACAUCUAAAAUGUUGGCUCAACUGAGGGAAGAGUUGGUGUCCAUCAUUUGGAUUUGGAUGAUUCUCAGCAAGAGAAAAACUUCACCUUCAAAUGUAUAGAAUUCUUGCUGCGAUUGAAGCAACGAUGGGUUGAGCUGAAAAUGGACUGAUUAGAUGUAUGUUAGGUGUUAUAGGGAAGGAUUUGGAAGGAUUUGUGUUUGCUUAUUGUAAUACUUGUGUUUGAUCUUUGUAAUUUGUCCUAAAUUAACUUAAUUAAAAUUUGA